UACGUAGGUGGCAAGCGUUGUCCGGAAUUAUUGGGCGUAAAGCGCUCGCAGGUGGUUCGUUGCGUCGUGCGUGAAAGACCCCGGCUCAACUGGGGAGGGUCGUGCGAUACGGGCGAACUGGAGGCCAGUAGGGGGAUGCGGAAUUCCGGGUGUAGUGGUGGAAUGCGUAGAGAUCCGGAGGAACACCAGCGGCGAAGGCGACUUACUGGACACAUAUUGACGCUGAGGUGCGAAAGCGUGGGGAGCAAACAGG
rnacentral:rRNA from 1 species